AUUGUAAACUACCCUGUGGUAACUGUAAAGACAACGUUACUUGUAGUAGCAUAAACGGAAUCUGCGCAAAUGGGUGUGCAGACGGAUGGUUUGGCGAAAAGUGUAACAUUGGUUGUAACUUGAAUACAUAUGGGGAUGAUUGCAAACUAACCUGUGGUUACUGUAAAGACAACGUUACUUGUAAUAGCAUAAACGGAAUCUGCUCAGAUGGGUGUGCAGACGGAUGGUUUGGAGAGAAAUGUGACACUAGUUGUGGUUUCUGUAAAGACACUAUUACGUGCAAUGUCAUAAACGGAAGCUGCUCAGAUGGAUGCGCAGACGGAUGGUUUGGAGAAAAAUGUGAUAUUAGAUGUCGUUUCAAUACAUAUGGCGAGGACUGUAAAAUACCUUGUGGUUUCUGUAAAGACAAUAGCACGUGCAAUUUCAUAAAUGGAAGCUGCUCAAAUGGUUGUGAAGACGGAUGGUUUGGAGAACAAUGCGAC